UAGAAGGCAGAAAUGGAAAAUUCCAUCUCUCAUUCAUUGUAGCAACAAAAGCUGUGGACUAUUCACCUUUCUUUUUAUGUCAAGCCAGUGGGAACUGAGAAUGGCCAUAACAUUGAGAAGAAGAGUACUUAACUACGUGUUGUUCUGAAAGUCAAAUGAAGUAAAGUAUAACAAAGUGCCUACCACGGAGCCAG